UACGGGGGGGGUAAGCGUUGCUCGGAAUUACUGGGCGUAAAGGGCUCGUAGGCGGCCAACUAAGUCAGACGUGAAAUCCCUCAGCUUAACUGGGGAACUGCGUCUGAUACUGGAUGGCUUGGAUUCGGGAGAGGAAUGCGGAAUUCCAGGUGUAGCGGUGAAAUGCGUAGAUAUCUGGAGGAACACCGGUGGCGAAGGCGGCAUUCUGGACCGACAUUGACGCUGAGGAGCGAAAGCCAGGGGAGCAAACGGG
rnacentral:rRNA from 1 species